GGCGUGGAUAGGCAUGCAAGUCGGGGGAAUCCCGCAAGGGGGAACCGGCGUAAGGGGCAGUAAUGUGUGGGUACCUACCUUUGGGUUCGGGAUAGCCAUCAGAGAUGGUGGGUAAUACCGGAUGACGUCGUGAGACCAAAGAUUUAUCGCCCGGAGAGGGGCCCACAUGAUAUUAGCUUGUUGGUGGGGUAACGGCUCACCAAGGCGAAGAUGUCUAGCGGGUGUGAGAGCACGACCCGCGCCACUCGCACUGAGACACUGGCGAGACACCUACGGGUGGCUGCAGUCGAGGAUCCUCGGCAAUGAGCGCAAGCUUGACCGAGCGACGCCGCGUGAGCGAUGAAGGCCUUCGGGUUGUAAAGCUCUUUAGUGGGGGAGGAAAGCCGAAAGGCGUGAUCUAUCCCAAAAAUAAGCACGGGCUAAGUUCGUGCCAGCAGCCGCGGUAAGACGAACCGUGCGAACGUUGUUCGGAAUCACUGGGCUUAAAGGGCGCGUACGCGGGCUGUCAAGUCUGGGGUGAAAUGCCGC
rnacentral:rRNA from 1 species